AUUGAACGCUGGCGGCAUGCCUUACACAUGCAAGUCGAACGGUAACAGGUCUUCGGAUGCUGACGAGUGGCGAACGGGUGAGUAAUACAUCGGAACGUGCCUAGUAGUGGGGGAUAACUACUCGAAAGAGUGGCUAAUACCGCAUGAGAUCUACGGAUGAAAGCAGGGGAUCGCAAGACCUUGUGCUACUAGAGCGGCCGAUGGCAGAUUAGGUAGUGGGUGGGAUAAAAGCUUACCAAGCCGACGAUCUGUAGCUGGUCUUGGAGGACGAUCAGCCACACUGGGACUGAGACACGGCCCAGACUCCUACGGGAGGCAGCAGUGGGGAAUUUUGGACAAUGGGCGCAAGCCUGAUCCAGCAAUGCCGCGUGCAGGAUGAAGGCCUUCGGGUUGUAAACUGCUUUUGUACGGAACGAAAAGCCCUGGGUUAAUACCCUGGGGUCAUGGCGGUACCGUAAGAAUAAGCACCGGCUAACUACGUGCCAGCCGCCGCAGUAAGAC
rnacentral:rRNA from 1 species